GGCGAACGCUGGCGGCGUGCCUAAUACAUGCGAGUCGAACGAGAGCGACCGGUGCUUGCACUGGUCAAUCUAGUGGCGAACGGGUGAGUAACACGUGGGUAACCUGCCCAUCAGAGGGGGAUAACAUCCGGAAACGGAUGCUAAAACCGCAUAGGUCUUCGAACCGCAUGGUUUGAAGAGGAAAAGAGGCGCACGCUUCUGCUGAUGGAUGGACCCGCGGUGCAUUAGCUAGUUGGUGAGGUAACGGCUCACCAAGGCCGUGAUGCAUAGCCGACCUGAGAGGGUGAUCGGCCACAUUGGGACUGAGACACGGCCCAAACUCCUACGGGAGGCAGCAGUAGGGAAUCUUCCGCAAUGGACGCAAGUCUGACGGAGCAACGCCGCGUGAGUGAAGAAGGUUUUCGGAUCGUAAAACUCUGUUGUUAGAGAAGAACAAGUGCUAGAGUAACUGUUAGCGCCUUGACGGUAUCUAACCAGAAAGCCACGGCUAACUACGUG
rnacentral:rRNA from 1 species